GCGUUGAAACACCAAUUCUCGUAAGAUCACCGAAGUUAAGCAACGUCGAUUCUGAUUAGUGCCUAGAUGGGAGACCACUUGGGAAUACCAGAU